UCACCCGGUCCCGAUAGCAACAGAAUCUGCUAUGAAGGGCUGCUGGAAAAACUCAGAGGCUGGUUGGCCAUUCCGAAGAUCAUCAGGUAGCAUUUGAAGGGGCCUGCUGUCUUGUGGCUCAGGCAUCCUUGUAUAGGCUGAGCAUAUGGAGAAUUCUGAGGAGGAGAGUGUGGGCGUGGCUCCCCAGGAAUUCCGGGAACUGGUACUCCUGGAAAGCAGCCUUCUGGAGGGAGAGCCCUCAGUACAGGCACCAGAGCAGAGCCCAGGUGCUCCUGCUGGGGACAACCAGAUGGUGAAGCCUCUGGUAAUAUGUGGUCCUGUGGAAGAUUGGGUACCCCUUGCAGAGGUGCUACAUCACCCUGACACGUGUGAAGAGGGUGACGAGGCUACUAUGGCGGAGUUGAAAGUCACAGAGGUGGUAGAUGUCAAGAAUGAGGGUGAAGAGGUAAAGGAUCAGAAACAGGAAGGUGAACAAGAUCAGCAGCCUGAGCUGGAAAAGAACCCAGAGCAAGCCUGUGAUUCUAAAGAUCAGCAAGGGAUACAAAGGCUUCCACUGUCAGGUGGCGGGCCUGCAGAACGCAGAUCUAAAAUGGAGGAGCUGGAACUUCUUCAACUGGAGCUCAGCUUUGUGAAUGCCCGCUGUAGCGGAGCUUUUGCCCGGAUUAAAGCAAAAGUGGCCAAAAUGCGCAGACCUCACUUUGAUCGCAGAAAGACCAUAAUCCAGGGCAUUCCAGGCUUCUGGGCUAAAGCUAUGAUGAACCAUCCCCAGAUGUCCUCCAUCAUCAGCAACCAAGAUGAAGACUUACUGAGCUACAUGUUGAGCUUGGAGGUGGAGGAGUACAAUCCUGGGUUGAGGAUGUGCAGGAUGAUGUUUUUCUUUAGUGAAAACCCAUACUUCCGGAAUGACAUUGUCACUAAGGAUUAUCAACUCAGCAUCAUUGGAUACAAAGAGUCAGAUUCGAGUACAAUAGAGUGGAUUGGACAGGCUGAGCAUGGUUAUGCCAACUGCAUGCAAGACACUACCAGACUCACUUUCUUCAACUGGCUGUGUGCACACAAAUUCCCUGGCUCCAACAGGAUUGCUGAGAUAAUCAUGGAUGACUUGUGGCCAAAUCCUCUUUACUACUACCCUAAGGAAGACCACUCAUGAAGAGAGAAUUAGGACUGUGCCAGGAUAAAAAGCAGAGCAUUUCUGACUGUAGACCAUUAAUGAAGAUGCUCAUCGUGUAAACUGGAAUUGACUGAGAUAAAUACUGGCAAAGGAUGAUGAUCUCUGCAUUCCUACCCAGGGGACUCACUUACCAUAGAACUCCCUUGCAAAUAUGGAAUUAUAGAGGAACAUGAACAGAGAAUGAUGGCCACCUGAAUCUCCCUGUCCUCGGUGAGGUUAUAAAAGAGAUCUAUUUAUAGUCUAAACACUAAAAAUUACUAGUGAUCAAAUACACUCCCAGUAGACUUUUCCAGAUUGCAGCAUGUAUUUCAACCUUGAUAAAUUGUAAAAUGAAGCAUUAUAUGACCUAUACACAUCAACUGAGUCGAGAAAUCCCACGUUUGCAUCUUUACUAGUGUCUACUAGCUUAGUUUCCAUAACAAUCUUUAAUAUGAUGCACACUAGGUUCUUAAUUCAAAAAUAAAUGCAACAUUUUGGUAGAAAUUUAAAAAUCACUGUGAUUUUGAUCCAAGAAAAACAAAAAAAUUCCAGAAGAGAUGCACAUACUGU